AUGGACACACUUAUAAUGCAGGAAGGCUCCGAUGUUUCGGAGAUUGAUAAAAGUGUAAAAAAUAAAUGGAGAUGGGCUUGGCUUAGCGAAAUUGGGAAGAAUGGCAAGCCUUUUAGUUCGUGGGCUAAAAAAAUCAAACAACCAGGUACGUGUCUUUGCACAGUAUGCCACAGGAAAUUUCAAUAUGGCAAUAAUGGCAAAAAAGUGCUAGCUCGCCAUCAAUCAGAAGCUAGUCACAAUGCUGCCGUUCGUGCUCUACAGUACACAUGCUCCCUGCCUGGUGCGACAAGUACCACAACGGAGAUUCAUGCAUCUAUGGCCGACCGUGUGUGCGAUGUAAAAGUGCGCAUAUGUUCUUUCAUAGCGGAGCAUGACCUGUCGUUCACAGUCUCACAACCGCUAGUUAAUUUAAUGCAAUCAGUUGUCAAAGACAAGAGUGCACUUUCAAGAUUGUCUAUGUCUAAUGCACAUGCCUCCUACUUGUGCACACAUGGCAUUUCUGCUUAUUGGAAAUCCGAAUUGUCAUCUAAGCUGAAAAACGAAGAUGUUUUUCUUUUAAAUGUAGAUGAGGCAACAGAUGGAAACAUGGACAGGAUUCUGAAUGUUCUUGUUCGGUACUAUGAUGAAGAUGUGGGAAAAGUGGCAACCCAGCAUCUAGCCUCGAGGAAACUGAAUAUUGCAGAUGCCUUAACAAUCACAAACACAUUGAAAGAUAUUCUCCAGUCAUAUAGCCUGAACUGGAAUCAGGUUGUUGGUAUACUGUUGGAUAACUGCAGUGUGAUGAGAGGGAAAAAGUCUGGAGUAGAGACACUAGUCAGAAGAGAAAAUCCAUCACUGCUGGAUGUCAGCGGAGACACUGUCCAUAUGGUCUCGAAUGCAGCCAAGGCCCUUUUAAAUCCUUUCCAGGGAUUUGUGGAACAAUUUUGCUCUGAUGUAUACUAUGACAUUGAAAAAUCACCCAAACAGAAAGAAGUUUUUUCUGAGUUUCAGUCCUUACUUCAUUUGGAGAAUAAGAGCCUAAUACGUCCCAUCAGCAGCAGGUUCCUGCAAAUGUUGGAUGUGUGCAACAGAAUACGGGAGCUUAUGGAUCCAUUGACUGUGCACUUCUACAGCGUCCUGUCUUCUCAUGAUCAACACAAACACAGAUGGCUCCUGAACCAGCUUCUUGAUAAGCAUGCAGUUACAUCUGAUGAGAAGGCCAGGAUAAUUUGUCUGCAACAGCAAAUGGCAAAAUCUGCAAGGAUCGGAAGUGAUGUCAACAAAAAACGAAAGACACGCAUCUGUAUGCUUUUUUCAGAGUUCGACAAGCUCACAACCAUUAUUGAUUUGUAUCGAGGUGUACUUCCAACUUUUCAGGUGUUCCUGAAGAAGUUGCAACAUGAAAAGCCCAUGAUUCAUGUGCUGCAUGCUGAAAUGCUGCUACUGGUUAGGGAACUUCUCUCCAAAUUUAUGAAGCCUAAAACUAUUCCUGUGAGUGCAAAGGGCUUGUUGAAGCUUAAUGUUCACCAGAGAGACCUGCAGUACACUGACAAAAGGUUGUCUGUGGGGAGAUUCAGCUUCUUUGCCUUAAACAAGGCUAGAGUAGAAAAGAAGCCCUGGGUGCAGAAGGUCUACAGCUCUCUCAGAGAAGGCUACAUAAAGGCAGCAACAUUCCUCCUGAAAAACCUGCCCCUCAACAACAACAUCAUCACCUCUUUAUCUGCGCUGACACCAUCAUUGAUUCUCCAUGAAUCAGUCCAAGGUGCAUUCAACACCUUGGCCAAGGCCUUGCCAAAUGCUGUGAAGUCAGAGGAGUUGGGUCAACUGGAUGAAGAGGUUCGAGCCUACCAGAUUAAUACAGAUCUAGGGACACAGGCCAAAUGCUUUGAGGAGAACAAUGCACGAAUCGAUGUUGACUGGUGGAGUAAGAUUUUCGCCAUGAAGAUGCCAGAAGGAGGAAUGAGGUUCCCCAUCUUAGGGAAGUUGGUAAAGGCUCUUCUGUCAUUGUUCACUGGCCCUCUUGUCGAAGGAUCAUUUAACAUGAUGGAUGAUAUAAUUGAGAAAGACAGGGUUAGGCUGAACAUUGAGACUUAUGAAGGCUUAGCCAUUCUCAAGUCCCACAUGAAGGUAAUGGGCAAAACUGCAUCUAAAAUGCAAAUUACCCCUGCAUUAAGGAGAUUUUGCCUGUCUUCUUAUGAGACAUACCAAAAUCAUCUGAAGAAAAAGAAGGUGAACCUUGACAAGCAAAAGGAAAGGAAACUGAGGGAAGCUGUGAAGGUCCUCUCAGCAGUUAGGGUUAGAAAAGUAAAGAAAGGUUCCACCUCUUCUGUUUGUGCUAAAGCCUCCACCUCUUCCGCCCUUGGAGUUAAACAAAAAGCUGCUGCUACAGCCUCCACCCCUGCAGUUAAAGGCGCUGCUGCUACAGUCUCCACCUCCUCCACUGUUGGAGUUAAAGGUAAAGCUGUUGCUACAGCCUCUUUCUCCUCCACCCCUGGAGUUAAAGGCAAAACUGCUGCUACAGCCUCCACCCCCUCCACCUCUCCUGGAGCCACUCCUGCACAUGUAGCUAGUCAAACACUAAAACGGGUGUCAGGUGUAGCCAAGCUUCAGGAAUAUGGUUUCACAGCCAAAAAGCAGAAAAAGUGAAAAGCACUCUAGAGACAUUUGCACAAGAAAAGCACUUUUUGGAAUUUAAUGGUGGUGCAGUUACUUUUUUUCCUGUUAAUUAUUAAGAGUUUCACAAAACAUUGUUUGGUGUUAUAAGAUAAAUAAAAACAUGCACUGAAAAGAUGUGUGGUAGAUGGUUGAUUAUUUGUCAAGGUAUAUUUUUUUUCAAAGAUUACAAAUAGCUUUUAAAAUAUGCAAACAGGCAAUAUUAAAGCGGUUUAAUCUCCCCUUAAAACGCUAUUGGUCUCGACUAUUUAAAUAAAGUGUUUGUUAAAGGAAUAUGGCUUGGCCUGAAAAAUGUUCAGUCAGAAGAUUUUUUUUCACUUUAAUCCCUGCUUUCUGACUCAGUCGCCCAUCCAGCAAUGUUAUAGAGCUGUGAUUGCACUCCACAGUCCUUCACAUGCCUGCCACUACACCAUGGAGAGAAGUGAUAACCAAAGCUUUUCACCUUUCCUCCAAACACAAGAGCCAACUGCUGCGUCGGACGGCACACUAUAAGCACUGUGUGAGAGAACGACACUAGAGAGAGUGAACGAAAAAGCAGAAGGUCGUCCACUGACAGCCUCCAUCAUGGCACCUAUAUCCAGUGUGAUUGCAUGCUGUAGCCAUAUACUAGUACUUGGUUAUCAAUGAGAAGACUUUUCAGUUUCUAUCUUUUACCAGGUUGGUGGUACCAGUUUACCAGGAAGUGAUCCGUGAAUUUGAUCCUUUUGUCAGGCACACCCUUCCUACAAUAUAAAGGCAACCAUAUUUCCCUUUUGAAGGAACUCGAACUGUGUCCUCUAACGGUCACUAUGGGGUCUGAAGCACAUGUCUAAACCAAUGGCGAGGCCAUGGGUAGGCAUGGACCCACCCAAUAAGAAGUUGGUAAUUUUCCAAAUGGAUGUAAUUUAUUAAACGAUAAUAAUAAUAAAAGUCUUAUUUUACUAUAUAACUUCAUAUAUUUAGUUUAAAAAUAUAUUUAACGCAAGAUUUCAUGGUCAAUUACAGUUUCUUAAUUUCCCCUCUUCCUCUAGGUGCAUACAAUACACUUGUCAAAAUGAUGAUUCGUCAGUUUCUGUUAGUCCCCCACACAAUGUUAUGUUUACGAUGUGAGGACACAAUAGUAAAAUGUGCGCGUUUGAAAAUAGAGCUGAAUUUGAAAAUAGUGAAACAAACAUCAAUCAGUCUUUAAAAACUAUAUAGUGGAUAUUCCAAAUGAAAAUUAAAGGGUUAGUUCUGUCAUUAAUUACUCACCCUCAUGAAGUUUCAAACCCGUUAGACCUUCGUUCAUCUUCGGAACACAAAUUAAGAUUUUUUUUUUUGAUUGAAUCUGGAGCUGUCUGACCCUGCAUAGCCAGCAAUGCAACUGAAAUGUAGUCCAGAAACGUAGCAAGGAGAUCUGCAAAAUAAUCCAUGUGACAUCAGUGGUUCAUCCACAAUUAUAUGAAGCUAUGAGAAUACUUUUUUGAGCAAACUUUAUUCAACAGUUUGUCUCCUCCGCAUCACCCUGGUGCCAUUUUGGAGAAUAUCUCAGUUGUGUCACUUCGGAACUGUUUCCUAUGUUGUUGUGAUUUGAUCUGAACGGAAACAGCGUAUCGGCGUGACGCAGCUGAGAUAUUCUCCAUAAUGGCGCUAGAAUGAUUGUUAAAACAUACGGGUUUGAAACGACACAAGCUUGAGAAAAUUAAUGACAGAAUUUUCAUAUUUGGGUGAACUAACAUUUUCUUAGCUAUGAAUCAAGACCAUCAACAAAUAAAGCCAGACCACCUGAGGGUGAUGGAUUUAUAGAUUGUAAACUUCUGAGCCAAAUUUGUUGGAAGCAUCAUAUUAGCAUAAGUACAGUGUUUGAUACACUAAACAGAUGCGUCCUUUGUGGAAAUAAACAAUAGAUAGAAUACAGAUAGAAUGAUUGUUAGUUAGAAUAUUA
ensembl:lncRNA